UACUGGUUGUUUGUGUUAUCAUGUUUUACUUUCAUUCUUUAUGAUUCCAUCUGUCAGACCUUCAAAAACACAAACAUGACAAAAUAAAUAUAAAAUUAUAUUUUUUUUAUUUAAACAAACGAUAACUAGACUGUGGAACAUGAAGUUCACCCAGAUUUCUUAAUCCAGUUUUAAGAUUAUAACAAUUUCACCAAAAUGCCAACUUAUAAAGAAUAUGACAUUUGUUCUGGACGUAGAGCCCAAAAAAGCUACUCCAUCAAAGAAAUACUUGGCGUCAUCUUUACGUACAUUAUAUUCAUAGUGGUUAGAACAAUACCAUUGCUCUGUUAUCUAUGCCUGGGCGUCUCAUAUAUCAUUUGCCAGAGUCUCUGUUGUUUCGUGUUUUGCUCCUGACUAAUUUUCCAACUUUAAGCUGCGUUCUACUGAAAAUUGUUAAAUAGUUAUGUUUAAGUCGGAACAAUAUAAUUUUAAUACAGA